rnacentral:rRNA from 1 species
GGCGAACGGGUGAGUAACACGUGGGUGAUCUGCCCUGCACUUCGGGAUAAGCUUGGGAAACUGGGUCUAAUACCGGAUAGGAGCCAUCUUUAGUGUGGUGGUUGGAAAGUUUUUCGGUGUAGGAUGAGCUCGCGGCCUAUCAGCUUGUUGGUGGGGUAAUGGCCUACCAAGGCGGCGACGGGCAGCCGGACUGAGAGGUUGGUCGGCCACAUUGGGACUGAGAUACGGCCCAG